GCACGUAGUUAGCCGAGACUUAUUCCUGUGCUACCGUCCACUCUCGUCACACAGAAAAGGAUUUUACAGUCCGAAAACCUUCUUCAUCCACGCGGCGUCGCUGCUUCAGGCUUGCGCCCAUUGAGCAAUAUUCCUCACUGCUGCCUCCCGUAGGAGUCUGGGCCGUGUCUCAGUCCCAGUGUGGGGGGUCACCCUCUCAGGUCCCCUAGCCGUCGUCGCCUUGGUAAGCCAUUACCUUACCAACUAGCUGAUGGCUCGCAGCCCCAUCCUCAAGCGUUAAAAACUUUUCUUAUAGGUCUCUACAACCCGUAAGCUUAUCAGGUAUUAGCACUAGUUUCCUAGUGUUAUCCCUGUCUUGAGGGCAGGUUAGCUACGUGUUACUCACCCGUGCGCCACUCUCUUGCGAGCGUUCGACUUGCAUGUGUUAGGCACGCCGCCAGCGUUCAUC
rnacentral:rRNA from 1 species